GUUGAAUUGAAUUAUGCUGUGAAUAUAUUUCUCAAUUCUCUGAUUAUUUAGUUUUCUUUUUCAUUUCGUUAUUUUGAUCAUUAUGAGCUUUGAUCUAGGUGAGCCAGCUUCUGCCAAGAGGGAUAAUAUAAUAUUAUGCGGUUCCAGUGUGGACUACACUCCAAUGAAUUUAUUACCACCCCCAAAUAAUCUACUUAGGUAUACUGUUUGUUUGCGGUGCUAUUUGUGUAGGCACUGAAUGAGGAUCUAGGAGAUGUUUUCUGGUGGAUACCAAUACGAACUGAACAAAUGUUAUCAAUCCAAAGCACUAACGGUCUCCUUGGAUUGUUCUGUAUACAAUUGUUUAAUUCUAUUUUAAAUCAAUAAAACACUUUCUAAGUGUUGGUUAAAUGUGUCGAUAACAUUUAACAACCUCUUUUUUGCGGGAAACAGAACAUGAAAUAAUCAUAUCAGAGAAGACGUAAUCAUCUAUCACAGGCUACUAAGUAUUGAGCAUUGAGUUGCACAACUAUCAUGUGUAGAGUUUCUGAUUACAGUUAUUUGUUUUUGCAUUAGCUGCCUUUACCCGUUGACUCUUUUUUGUUCCCUAACAUAAAAUGUUAAAUACAGCAUCCAUUACAUACUUUACUGAACUAAUCUUUAAAUUAUCGAUGCCUUUAUAAAAAUGUAUGUAUGUUUCCAAGCUAUCUCCGAGAAAACAUAUGUUCAAACUUUUUUUUAUUUUUAAGUUAAUUCGGUUUUGAUUACAACUGACUAAAGUGAUAAUAACCAAUGUUGAAUCUUUCAGUUUCCGUAUCAGUUAAUUAGUAUCACUUUUAACAUUUCAACUGUUUUGUGGUUUAAGUAGACCUGGCGCCGCACUAUUAUAAUAUACAAUACUUGUAUGUAUAUAUUCAAGUCAUGCUUAAGACGUUAGUCGACGACGUACAGUGAAAAUAACUUAUAAGUCAAAGUACUUAGCAUUUUGAUAAGAAAUACUGAUUGGAUUAUUAUACAGGGUGUCCCAAUAGUGUAUGCUUGGUUGAAAUCUUAACAACGGCUAGUGAUGGAUAAAGAAAUCAAAUAGAAAAAUUGUACAGCAAUAUGAGCUACAUAACCCAAAAAUAUUUUCAUUUAUACAGGAUGUCCCAAAAAUCUGUACCAUAUAAAAGUUGUUUUUUGUUAUAGUACACCCUCUGUUUUGAAUUCUACGAAAAAUUCUAGACACACUUGAUGUAUUAUGUUCAAUAAGGUACAAUACAGAAAAAUAAGAAUACUUAAUUUUCAAAAAUACACUAUAUUUCACA